rnacentral:lncRNA from 1 species
GAUCAUUUAAGUCCAAAUUCAAACCAUUUCAAGUGACAUGUUCAUGUACUAAAUCAAUUCAAUUUUAUUCAAAUGUAUCAAUACCAUUCAUUACAUGAUAAUAAAAUGUCUACAUACAAAAAAAAUGCAAAAAAAUAUGUUGACCAAAUGUUAACUUUGGUCAACAGUUGACUUUUUGAUCAACUUUGACCAAAGUUAACUCAAAUUCUUUUCCAUCCUAAACCCCUAAAU